AUGUCUUUGACGAUAAGCAACUUUCGGACUCU
rnacentral:snRNA from 1 species